UCUCCUUCUUCCUUCUUCCCUCUUCUUCUGUUCUUCCCUGCUCGUGUUUUUGUGAGAAGAAUUUAUGAAAUUGAAAAGAGACUCGGGAGAAAACAUUGUGGGAUGUUAUUGGUGGUGGUGUUGGUGUAAAUGGAGCUCGAGAGAAGGAGGAGUUGAUGUUGUUGUAACUGAAAUUAGGGUUUUCAGUUUAGAUGUUGGGAUUAUUUGGAAUUGAGAUGUAGAUCGAGUUGCUGAUAGUCAAAGAUUAAGAAGGUUGAUGUUCGAUUUGAAAUUAUAGGGUUGUUUUGAGGAUUGAAUCAAGAGCUAUGGUUUCAUAAGGAGUUAUUCUGAGAUGAUGUAGAAGUUGAAAUUGAUGUUCUAGGGGAUUGAAUUAAUGAUGGGUUUGCUCUUAAUUGAAGUUUAAUCGGAUGUAAUGGGUUAAUUUCAGUUUCUGUGAGAAAUUGAAUUAGAAAAUUAGGGUUCUUAAUAAAUUGGGAUUUAGGGUUCAUGAGUUUUGGAUGUUGAUGGAAAAUAUGGGACUGAUGACGAACAAUUAUAGGAAGAAGAAGAACUCUGAGUUUGUUUUUGAGUGUAAUCAGAUUAGAAAUGGAUUGAUUCAAGUUCAGAGAAGUUGAGGUAAUUUUUUUUACUUAAUUGAUUUGAAAGAGUUAUUCUUAUUCAUUGACGAGUAUUUAUGAAUGCUUAUAAAGCUAAGAAUGGAGUUGAUAUGGGAUGAAAUUGUAUAUGAUUUUGGUUUAGGUCUAUUUUGAUCUGCAAGGGUUAUUGCAUGUUGAAGAUGAAAUUAGAGCUUGCAUGAUUAUGAAUUGAACUGAGAUUGAUGAGGGUAUGGAUUUGGAAGUGAACUGGUGGUGUUAUGAUUUAAAGGAAAGAACAAUAAUGAUGCUGGAGUUGUAGUUAGUGAAUUUGAAAGACACUGGUAUAAUGUUGCAGGUGAUAGUGUUGAACUGAAGAUUGUUGAGUUACACCAGUGUUGUGUUGCAUAUGUAAAUGUUUGAGGCAAGUGGUAUGUUUUUAAAAUAGUAAAUGGUGAUGAUACAAAUUGGUGGAGGGAAAGAUGAGACCUGGAAUGUGGUGAUAAUUGUGUUGGUACUGAAAUGUGGAUUGCAGGUGGUUGCAGUUGAUGAUGGGUAUUGGUUGUGAGUAUGUAAGUCAAUGGUGGAGGAUGUAGGUUGUUUUAGUGUUGAAUUAGGUUGAUUUUAUGGUGUGAUGGGGUUGCAGUUCAUGGAGUUGGGGUUGUCUGAAAUGGAUAUGAUGUUUAGCUAAAAUUGCAACAGAAUGGAAUUGAAGUAUGUGUAUAAAUCUAAGGUGGGUACAGAUUGCAGAGAAUGGGUAAAUCAAUUACAGUUGGUGGUGUUGUAGUUGUAGUGAAGUUACAGUGGUGGUUGAGUUGAUUUUAUCUGUGGUGAUGCUGUAAUAUGCAGGGAAGUGAUGAAUUUGUGGAAAUGAGAACUAAUUGAGAAUAUUAAGUUAUAUGACUGAGUUAUAUGAAUGAAGGUUAUAUAAGGGUGUUGAGUUGAAUCUCUCUAGUGAUGCUUAGAGCUGCAAUUGCAGUUAGUCUAUAUUAGCAACGAUCGAUUCAAAGAACGAACCAGUGGAACGUGAAUCUCGAGGUAGGCGUGGAUUGUCAUCAAAAGAGUUUCAGAGACAGAUCAGAGUUGCGCAGCGAAAGCUUCAAGGAUUGAUUUUCGUUAGUCGCUUAACUUCGGCUAUGUUUAUUAUGUUGUAUAUUCUAUUUGCAAACCAAAUGACUAUUGUAUAUGUAUCAUUUGAGAGGAGUUCUUGUAUAUAUAUAUAUCUGAGCGGGGAUAGUUUUGGGUUAA